GACGAACGCUGGCGGCGUGCUUAACACAUGCAAGUCGAACGGAAAGGCCCCUUUGGGGGUACUCGAGUGGCGAACGGGUGAGUAACACGUGAGUAACCUGCCCUUGACUUCGGGAUAACUUCAGGAAACUGGGGCUAAUACCGGAUAGGAAUCCUUGCUGCAUGGUGGGGGUUGGAAAGCUUCGGCGGUUUUGGAUGGACUCGCGGCUUAUCAGCUUGUUGGUGGGGUAGUGGCUUACCAAGGCUUUGACGGGUAGCCGGCCUGAGAGGGCGACCGGCCACAGUGGGACUGAGAUACGGCCCAGACUCCUACGGGAGGCAGCAGUGGGGAAUAUUGCACAAUGGGCGGAAGCCUGAUGCAGCAACGCCGCGGGCGGGAUGACGGCCUUCGGGUUGUAAACCGCUUUCAGCAGGGGCGAAGCUUGUGGUGACGGUACCUGCAGAAGAAGCACCGGCUAACUACGUG
rnacentral:rRNA from 1 species